UCUACGGGGGGCAGCAGUGAGGAAUAUUGGUCAAUGGGCGCGAGCCUGAACCAGCCAAGUAGCGUGGGUGAAGAAGGUCUUCGGAUCGUAAAACCCUGUUGUUAGAGAAGAAAGUGCGUGAGAGUAACUGUUCACGUUUCGACGGUAUCUAACCAGAAAGCCACGGCUAACUACGUGCCAGCAGCCGCGGUAAUACGUAGGUGGCAAGCGUUAUCCGGAUUUAUUGGGCGUAAAGGGAACGCAGGCGGUCUUUUAAGUCUGAUGUGAAAGCCUUCGGCUUAACCGGAGUAGUGCAUUGGAAACUGGGAGACUGGAGUGCAGAAGAGGAGAGUGGAACUCCAUGUGUAGCGGUGAAAUGCGUAGAUAUAUGGAAGAACACCAGUGGCGAAAGCGGCUCUCUGGUCUGUAACUGACGCUGAGGUUCGAAAGCGUGGGUAGCAAACAGGAUUAGAUACCCCUGUAGUC
rnacentral:rRNA from 1 species